ensembl:lncRNA
GCUCAAUCAUCGCAUUCCUCUGUUGGCUCGUAGUAGCGGAGCAAAAUGGCGUAGAGCGGAGGGUGUAAAGGAGAGGGGGACGACAGGACCUUCUUCUCUCCCCGUCGGCGAGCACACAGCAGGGGAGAGAAGGGGGUCCGGUGGUUUGGGUAUUAUCUCUUUAAUUUGUCCUCACCGACGCGGCUCCUCAUAUCAAAAAUAAAUGCCCGGCAACCGUCCAGUCCUGGAGACCUUCACCGUAGAGGAAGAAAUCCCCCCGGCUUUUGUUUACCAUUGUGUGCAGCUGCAGAUCAACCACAGAGGAAACACCAAUGCACAAUAUCCAGCCAACUCACUCCAAGGACUAAAUAUUCACUUGAUCGAGUCGGGAAACCCAGCUGAAGCCAAGACCGGAGGGAUGUCUCCCUUCAGAGCCGACCCAGUGCCACAGUCAUAUUACAUCCACCACCGCCAACCAACUAUACACCUGUGGAGGUAAAGACCUGUAUUGGCCUUAUGGGACCUCCCUGCCGUUGUCGGGACACUUUCCAUCUCUCCUCCACAGCAUCGCCUCUUGUCCUGACCUAUUUCUGCAGCAUGAUCAUCAGCAAGUGGGGACGCCUGCCAAGGUUUUGGGCCGCCUGGCCUCCAUGAUGCUCAUUUUUAGCCAUGUUUACAUGUAGCCUAACAUUUAGCUCUGAGGUGUGUGUUAGGCCUGGGUGGGAUUCUUGUUAGGCUUGCAGCUAAACAUAGUUGAUAACACUUCCCAAAAAUAGACCGAAGCAGUUACUGAACAAGAAGAAAGUAAUGACACACAAUACUGUAGCAAAGAUCAAGGCCUGUGAUGUUAAAUUAGACUAAUUUGGUUUUUUUCUCUACCUCAUUGCCACAGCAAGUGCAAAAGGAUUGAACCAGUAGCUAAAUGGUUGUCAAGCGCCACAGCAGUUUUAUGUAUUGUUCCUAAAUGGAUUUAGUUUUAGAGAGUCGAAGUAGCUGACAUGAUGCACGCUGUCAUGACUCACUCAGUCUGUGGUCUCCUAUGCAUCUGUCCCAAAGGGAAGGUCACUAGAUAGUAUUUUCCACCCCAUGUCCUCAUUUUUUGCAUUUCAGGUUUACUGUUUGUCACACAAAGAGACAGAAUUGUCAACGUUUAGUUUUUUUAAUUUCUGUAUUUCCACAUUGGGUCUUCUCCCCUCUCAUGUUCUGUUACCUUGUGAGAGAUAAUGUAUGAACAGGAAGUUCUGACCGAGCAGCAGAUAGACCUAGAGAUGCCCAUUUCAGAUUCCAUAAGACAAAGUUUAUCUUGCCUUUUUAACCCAUACCUGAAGGAAACCCUGGUCUCAUUUCUCUGUUUCAUUUUUAUGAUUUUUACACAAAAAAAAAGAAAAAUCACAAUUUACCGGGAUUUGUGCAAUAUUUGAUCUUAACUGUCAUGUUGUUGACCAAACUGUAUAUUGUAUAAACAAGUGACAAGUUGUUUGAAAGCAACAAAAUCACCAAUGUCUUCCAUUAAGAUAUGUAUAGACUCAUGUGCAUUAGCUGUUUUAGCGGAUGCCAACAUUAUAGUAGCCAUGCAUGACCAGUAGUGAUGCUUGCUUCAUGAAGAAUAGUGAAAUCAACUUCUAGACUAAGCUGGAGUUCAAACAGGGUGGUAGAUUGACGUACUGCGCCUUUAAAUGCAGCUUUCCCCUAUACUCUAAUGCUAGAUCCCCCCUUUUUCCAUGUCUAGUCUGCAUAAUGAUAAUAUAACUAAUAAAUGACACAAUCAGGAUAUGCA